rnacentral:rRNA from 1 species
AUUGAACGCUGGCGGCAGGCCUAACACAUGCAAGUCGAGCGGAUGAAGGGAGCUUGCUCCUGGAUUCAGCGGAGGACGGGUGAGUAAUGCCUAGGAAUCUGCCUGGUAGUGGGGGAUAACGUCCGGAAACGGGCGCUAAUACCGCAUACGUCCUGAGGGAGAAAGUGGGGGAGCUUCGGACCUCACGCUAUCAGAUGAGCCUAGGUCGGAUUAGCUAGUUGGUGGGGUAAAGGCCUGCCAAGGCGACGAUCCGUAACUGGUCUGAGAGGAGGAGCAGUCACACUGGAGCUGAGACACGGCCCAGGCUCCUACGGGAGGCCGCCGCGGGGAAUAUUGGACACUGGGCGAAAGCCUGCUCCAGCCAUGCCGCGUGUGUGCAGAAGGUCUUCGGAUUGUAAAGCGCUUUUAGUUGGGAGGAAGGGCAGUAAGUUAAUACCUUGCUGUUUUGACGUUACCAACAGAAUAAGCACCGGCUAACUUCGUG